UACAGAGGGUGCGAGCGUUAAUCGGAGUGACUGGGCGUAAAGGGCACGUAGGCGGUUUAUUUAGUCUGAUGUGAAAUAACUAGGCUUAACCUGGUAUCUGCAUUGGAAACGGAUAAGCUAGAGUAUUGGAGAGGGAAGUGGAAUUUCCGGUGUAGCGGUGAAAUGCGUAGAGAUCGGAAAGAACACUCGUGGCGAAGGCGACUUCCUGGCCAAAUACUGACGCUGAGGUGCGAAAGCGUGGGUAGCAAACAGG
rnacentral:rRNA from 1 species